GCAGAUGUGGCUCAGUUGGUAGAGUGCUUGCCUUGCAUACAGGAGGCCCUGGGUUCAAUUCCCAGUGUUGCA